AAAGAAACCUAGCGAUCAGAAAAAAACAAAAAUUUCUGAAAACAAAACUCCUUCAACAUAUGACGAACCGGAGGAAACAAUUGAUGUUCCAAAAAAAAACAAUCGAAAAAAGAAACCUAGCGAUCAGAAAAAAACAAAAAUUUCUGAAAACAAAACUCCUUCAACAUAUGACGAACCGGAGGAAACAAUUGAUGUUCCAAAAAAAAACAAUCGAAAAAAGAAACCUAGCGAUCAGAAAAAAACAAAAAUUUCUGAAAACAAAACUCCUUCAACAUAUGACGAACCGGAGGAAACAAUUGAUGUUCCAAAAAAAAACAAUCGAAAAAAGAAACCUAGCGAUCAGAAAAAAACAAAAAUUUCUGAAAACAAAACUCCUUCAACAUAUGACGAACCGGAGGAAACAAUUGAUGUUCCAAAAAAAAACAAUCGAAAAAAGAAAC